rnacentral:rRNA from 1 species
GGAGGAUCUUCGGCAAUGGGCGAAAGCCUGACCGAGCGACGCCGCGUGAGCGAAGAAGGCCUUCGGGUUGUAAAGCUCUGUCGAGGGGGAUCAAGGGAAACUUGAGUGAUCCCUGGAGGAAGCACGGGCUAAGUUCGUGCCAGCAGCCGCGGUAAGACGAACCGUGCGAACGUUGUUCGGAAUCACUGGGCAUAAAGGGCGCGUAGGCGGCUUGUCAAGUCAGGGGUGAAAUCCGGCAGCUUAACUGUCG